CCUGUUAGGAAUGCAAAUUUUAGGGCCCAUCCCAGGCCUACUGACUCAGAAACUUUGGGAGUGGAGCCCAGCAAUCUGCAUUUUUGUC
rnacentral:miRNA from 1 species